rnacentral:rRNA from 1 species
UACAGAGGUGGCAAGCGUUGUUCGGAAUUACUGGGCGUAAAGGGCGCGUAGGCGGUUCGUUAAGUCCUGUGUGAAAUCCCCCGGCUCAACUGGGGAACUGCACAGGAAACUAGCGGGCUUGAGUUCGGUAGAGGGUAGUGGAAUUCCCGGUGUAGCGGUGAAAUGCGUAGAGAUCGGGAGGAACACCAGUGGCGAAGGCGGCUACCUGGACCAGCACUGACACUGAGGCACGAAAGCGUGGGGAGCAAACAGG